UCUCAAACACCUGCCUCACUAGCGGAGCGCCACCAUGUUUCUGGACUACCUUGCGGGUUGUUGGGCCAUCUUCAGCAGACAACUGAGUAGCAUCCGAAAGGGACAUUAGUUCUUAGGGUAUCCCAAUUGGGCUUUGUAGCAUGCUUUUAUCGGAUAAAGAGGAAUGUAUCUGAUACUUCAGCUACAGACAGGUG